UGCCACUGUUGAUUUCCCAUUUUAUUUUAGGGUUACUUUGACUGAGCUUGAUUUGACUGCAGUUCUCGUUGGGUGGAAAACGCAUCUGCUACUAUGAUGAUGUAUUUUGGCUGUGGUAAAAACCACUCCAGGUGCCCUGUUUGAGUCAUUGGUGCAUCUGUCAUCCCCUGCCUCUCCUGCUGAACCAGACAAAAGCAAAGCCAUGCUAGACUGAAAAGGCAGAGGAGCAAUCUUUUAAAUGGAUCUGUUUUUGAAAAUAUUUUAUGACAUAAUCAUGUUUUCCUCUCAAAGCCCAAGGGAAGGCUGUCUGUCAGACUCUGGCCUUCUCUUCACCCGCCUUCCCCUGAACAAAAAGCAGCAAAAUAAAUAAAUGCAAGCAAGAGGGAGGGAGGGAGAAAACCUGGUUGUGUGCUAAUAGAACCCAGAGGCACUCUGAAACCUUAGACAUUCUGCUUUUCUGCUCUCAGUCGGGAGAUUAAAGCUGGGCAAACGUUACAGGAGGCCGGAUAAUUGCCCCUGUGUCUCCGGCAGACAAAAGCCAACGCUUCGACAAUUCCCUGCGGUCCUCACCACCACACCUCGUCCUCGCUCCAAAUGGGCUUCGAAACCAGGUCUCUGGCAUGGAGGUGGACAAACUAACAAGGAGUCGAAAUGACUGCAGCCACAAGCUACCGUCUCUUGUGAUUCGGGGAGUGAGGUUUACCAGCAACUACCCGCUGGUUUCCGUUACACUCAUCCCCCCCAAACAUCACUCCCAUCCGGGUCACAGCACCAGUGUAACCCCUCUCUCCCGGCUCCUCACUGCCACACCUCAUCCUCACUCUGAGUGGGCCUCGAACUCGGGGGUCCAGACACACAGGAUGCCACUGCCUGCCUGCUGGUUCUCUAAUCGAUUGCUAAUGGCUUCAGUUCCAUCACUGCAGAGCAGCUUGGAAUCUGGCCCUGGGACUGAAUGGAGCGGAAACACCAUUUUCAGCUCUAUGAGCCGUUAUACUGCA